AUCAUAAUUAAAUAAACUAUUUCAAGAGAUAUAAUAUAUUAAUGUAUACAUUCAUUUUUUCAUUUUAUAUCUAUUAAUCAUUAGUAAUUUUAUUGCAGAUAUGUUAUGGGAAAAUCAAAAUAGUAGGGUAUUGUUUGUUUGAUCAAUUAGGUAGUGCAUCUGGGUGAUCAUCUAGAAGAUCCAUUCAGAUACAUUAUUUGGAUGAUGUUGAUUUCUAAAGUUGAAAGUACAUCUGGAUAAAUCAUAUGAAUGCAGAUGUGUUCGUUUGAAUUAUUUUUUAAUAAUGUGCAUCUGCAUCUCAAUGCAUAAUGUACCAAAUAACUAAAAAGGACAUAUAUUUAUCUUAGUGUUAUUUUUAUGAUGUAAAUUAUAUUUACAUCUUCAUUAUUCUUCUAAUAAUAUGUCUCUCCCGCUUGAAUAUAAGACCUGUAAUAAAAAUAAAGCAUAUCACCAAAUAAAAGUGUAAUACUUAAUUCUCUAUAUAUUUGUAAUACUUCAAAAAGCCAAACGUGACAAAUCUCCUUCACAUGACAAAAAUCUCCUUCACAUGACAAAGGCAAAUAAUGCUAAAUCACAAUGGAAUGAAGAGGAUUAAGCAAGUAGCAAGAACAAUUGCUAAUUAUAGAUAUUGAGUCAUAAGGUUUAACUAGCCAAAAGUGUUAAUUUGGAGCUUCCAGUCUAUAAAGUGAUUCUGAUUCAUAAAAAUAAGAGUGGCUGAGACGUUAUAGUUAGACCGAGAGUGAAGUAAAGUAAUACUACUUUAAAAGGAAGUUCAUGGACGUCAAACCAAGAACGCAUCACCGCACCAUCUGCAUAAGAAAGAAUAGACAUAAGGUUUUUUCAAACACAUAUGGAUUAAGAGGCAUGACACCAACAUGUACCACAGAGAAAUCAUAGAUAAUCAAACCAUAAGUCAUGAACAACGAAAUCAAUAACAGUAAGAAACAUUAACAUGAAUGCAGAUCAAAAAUAGAAAAGGAAGAACGUACUGUUGCAGCCUACAACUUAUAGAUCAAAAAUAGAAAAGGAAGAACAGAUACAUACAUAGAUUCCUUUCAAAUAUCAUUAUAAGAGAAAAAGGGAACACCCCAUAGAAAUUUUAACUAAAGUAGCUAAGUAAAACAGCUUUGUAAUCUCUAAAAUUUUUAACAUCUGCAGCAAGCAUGAGAGAUAUAUAGAGACCAAUUCUGAAAUUCUAAAACAGUUAAGAAACUAACAACACUUAAAAGUCUAUAAUCAGUUCAAAAGUCAUGAAACCUAAACACUCCUAAUAGAGAUAAAACUCCUAAUAGAGGAGACAAGUAGAAAAAGAAUCAUAACAACAAAUCUACUGCAAACUUGACCUAAUCAGGAAGAAGAUAACUCAAACAAUCUAUAACAGAAAUUAGAAAAACAAAAGCGGGGAACAAAAAUAAUCAGUGAACAAACUCAUCAAGCAAAAAAUGCAACUUCAAUCACAAUCUACCCUAAUUCAGACUCGAAAGUAACUCCUGCGGUGAAAAAUCUUAACUUUACCCAAAGAAAAAACACCUCUUGAAAUCAACUAAACAAGCUAAGAAGUAAGAAUCAAUGUGUUACGAAGCUAUAUACAAGACUUAAAAUGGGUUUACGAAAUAACUCACCAAGGUCACACUGUUGGUAAAACUUGUGUACAUCUGCAAAACAUAAAACAUGAAUAAACCCAUAAUCGUCAAAUCUCAGCUAAUGAAUAAACCGAGGCUAGGAAGAAGAAAGCCGAAAUCUUUGAGUUUUUUCCUCAGCAAAUUAAGAAAACCCAAUUGAAUAAACGAGCAAUAAACAUACAACAAACUUGCAAAUCUACAAAAAGUAUUUUAGAUUCGAGCAAACGAAACAGAGUAUAUAGAAAGAGAGAUUGAGCUGACCAGUAGAGAGAGCCUUGUGUUGAAUAGAAGCUUGACCCAGAAAGGAGAAUGGUGUAAGUAGAGACUGGAGUUUUCGAUUUUUGAUUUUCCUCUUCACUUUUCUGAAAUCGAGAACAAGCGAUCCAAUUUUGAACUACACCCAAAAAAUCUAUUACAAGUAAGAAUCGAAAAGAGAUAUGUAUACCUAGAACCGAGCUAAAGCUAAUGGAGAAGCAGAUCGAGAGCUAACGAUAAUGGAGAAGCAGAUCGAAGAGUGAGAGAUAAAGGGAAGUGAAGUACCCUAAAAAUCUAUUUUUCUUCUUUUGUCUAGAAUUGUUGAGAACCGAGGGAUAAGAAAUGGUUCCGUGCAAUUUUCAAAUUUUAAAGAGAUAUUUAAGUCAUUUGCUAUUUUUGGCUACAGCUAAUGCAUCUCAAUGCACCGAUCAAACUCAGCUGAAUUUGUUGAUUUUUUUGGAUGAGUUUUAUAAACUCUACUAACUAAUGCAUUCAACUGUUCUAACAAAUUGUGUUCAAACAAACAUCAAUUGUCAUCUGCACCUAGAUGGAUCAGUCAACUGAUCAAACGAACAACACCUAGAUAUUACAAUUUUUGUACUUUUGUAUUUGAAUUAAAAAUAUUAAAUAUUGUAAUAAUUAUCACAAUAAAUCUAUUUACUAUAUUUAUAAAUAAAAU
rnacentral:sRNA from 1 species